rnacentral:rRNA from 1 species
ACGCUGGCGGCGUGCCUAAUACAUGCAAGUCGAGCGAAGUUUUUCUGGUGCUUGCACUAGAAAAACUUAGCGGCGAACGGGUGAGUAACACGUAAAGAACCUGCCUCAUAGACUGGGACAACUAUUGGAAACGAUAGCUAAUACCGGAUAACAGUAUUUCUCGCAUGAGAGAUAUUUAAAAGUUGGUUAUGCUAACACUAUGAGAUGGCUUUGCGGUGCAUUAGCUAGUUGGUGGGGUAAAGGCCCACCAAGGCGACGAUGCAUAGCCGACCUGAGAGGGUGAUCGGCCACACUGGGACUGAGACACGGCCCAGACUCCUACGGGAGGCAGCAGUAGGGAAUCUUCCGCAAUGGGCGAAAGCCUGACGGAGCAACGCCGCGUGAGUGAAGAAGGAUUUCGGUUCGUAAAGCUCUGUUGUUAGGGAAGAAUGGAUAUGUAGUAACUAUACAUAUAAGAGACGGUACCUAACCAGAAAGCCACGGCUAACUACGUGCCAGCAGCCGCGGUAAUACGUAGGUGGCAAGCGUUGUCCGGAAUUAUUGGGCGUAAAGCGCGCGCAGGUGGUUUAAUAAGUCUGAUGUGAAAGCCCACGGCUCAACCGUGGAGGGUCAUUGGAAACUGUUAAACUUGAGUGCAGGAGAGAAAAGUGGAAUUCCUAGUGUAGCGGUGAAAUGCGUAGAGAUUAGGAGGAACACCAGUGGCGAAGGCGGCUUUUUGGCCUGUAACUGACACUGAGGCGCGAAAGCGUGGGGAGCAAACAGGAUUAGAUACCCUGGUAGUCCACGCUGUAAACGAUGAGUGCUAAGUGUUGGUCUCAUAAGAGAUCAGUGCUGCAGCUAACGCAUUAAGCACUCCGCCUGGGGAGUACGACCGCAAGGUUGAAACUCAAAGGAAUUGACGGGGACCCGC